GGGGAAUAUUGGACAAUGGGCGAAAGCCUGAUCCAGCCAUGCCGCGUGUGUGAAGAAGGUCUUCGGAUUGUAAAGCACUUUAAGUUGGGAGGAAGGGCAGUAAGUUAAUACCUUGCUGUUUUGACGUUACCAACAGAAUAAGCACCGGCUAACUUCGUGCCAGCAGCCGCGGUAAUACGAAGGGUGCAAGCGUUAAUCGGAAUUACUGGGCGUAAAGCGCGCGUAGGUGGUUCAGCAAGUUGGAUGUGAAAUCCCCGGGCUCAACCUGGGAACUGCAUCCAAAACUACUGAGCUAGAGUACGGUAGAGGGUGGUGGAAUUUCCUGUGUAGCGGUGAAAUGCGUAGAUAUAGGAAGGAACACCAGUGGCGAAGGCGACCACCUGGACUGAUACUGACACUGAGGUGCGAAAGCGUGGGGAGCAAACA
rnacentral:rRNA from 1 species